AAAAAUUUAGUUAAGUUAUAACAUUAGUUNGUCNUACUAAAA
rnacentral:tRNA from 1 species